rnacentral:rRNA from 1 species
GACGAACGCUGGCGGCGUGCUUAACACAUGCAAGUCGAACGGAAAGGCCCUGCGUGUGUGGGGUGCACGAGUGGCGAACGGGGGAGUAACACGUGAGGAACCUGGCCAUGACAUUGGGAUAACGUCAGGAAACUGGGGCUAAUACCGGAUAGGAGAGCCUGCUGCAUGGUGGGGGUUGGAAAGUUUCGGCGGUUGGGGAUGGACGCGCGGCUUAUCAGCUUGUUGGUGGGGUAGUGGCUUACCAAGGCUUUGACGGGUAGCCGGCCUGAGAGGGUGAACGGCCACAUUGGGACUGAGAUACGGCCGAGACUGCUACGGGCGGCAGCAGGGGGGAAUAUAGCACAAUGGGCGGAAGCCUGAUGCAGCGACGCCGCGUGCGUGAUGACGGCCUUCGGGUGGGAAACCGCUUUCUCCUGCUACGAAGCGUAACUGACGGUAACGGGUAAAGAAGCACCGGCUAACUACGUG